CAAGCUGCCAUAUUUAGUGAUUGGAAAGUAUGCACAUUUUACCUUGAAACUUAUUUUGAAAAUAUUUUCAAUAUUAAGAAAUGUACACAUUACCAUUUGUCCAUGGAAGUGUUCAAAUACAGACUUCCUUAAAUGCGUUUUCUAAUCACAAUAUUCUGUUUUCAGUGGUGAAAUAUGAGUCAGCGACCAAGGUCAACAAUCAAAUCUAGAAAAAGAUGGGGUGAUCAAAAAUCUUCUGGGCAGGUUUUGUCUGCUAUUAGCCUGCCCUGGAAGCUACUCAGCAGGAACUGGCUUAUCCGAAGACUGGGCGUGAGCGUGGAGACGGUCCUGAUGUCAAGGCGAAGGAACUGUCAGAUCCAGAGCCCACUAAUGUGCCAGAAGCAGGGGGUGGACGUCCCCAGGUUUAAACGAAGAUGAGCUGAAAUCUUG
rnacentral:lncRNA from 1 species